UACGUAGGGUGCAAGCGUUGUCCGGAAUUAUUGGGCGUAAAGAGCUCGUAGGCGGUCUGUCGCGUCGGAUGUGAAAACCCAGGGCUCAACCCUGGGCCUGCAUUCGAUACGGGCAGACUAGAGUUCGGUAGGGGAGACUGGAAUUCCUGGUGUAGCGGUGAAAUGCGCAGAUAUCAGGAGGAACACCGGUGGCGAAGGCGGGUCUCUGGAACGGUACUGACGCUGAGACGCGAAAGCGUGGGGAGCGAACAGG
rnacentral:rRNA from 1 species